AUGCCCAGCUCAAAUCAGACGCCCAGCUCAAAUCAAUCAGAUGCCCAGCCCAAAUCAAGACGCCCAGCUCAAAUCACAUGCCCAGCUCAAAUCAAUCAUGCCCAGCUCAAAUCACAUGCCCAGCUCAAAUCAAUCAUGCCCAGCUCAAAUCACAUGCCCAGCUCAAAUCAAUCAUGCCCAGCUCAAAUCAAUCAUGCCCAGCUCAAAUCAGAUGCCCAGCUCAAAUCAAUCAGAUGCCCAGCCCAAAUCAGACGCCCAGCUCAAAUCAC
rnacentral:lncRNA from 1 species